rnacentral:lncRNA from 1 species
UACUAGGAUUUUCUGCCUUCCUGCAGCCCUAAGAUAAAGGUGCUGACUAUGGGCAGUGUUUGCUGACUCAGCCCCGAGCUGUCUGUUAAUACUGCCCAAUGAUUCCAGCUCAGGGUAGUCUGUGAUAUGUGUAAAGCAGUCAUUGUUCUUGGGGCAAGGGAAGCCUGAGAAAAUGGGGAUACUGGAUUUUGCUAUUGUAUGAUGUAAGAUACAUGCAAAGCUGUGACGAUUUUUUUAAAAAUAAUCAUAUUAAUCUUGUUUACUUCCAAAUUCAUUUAUUCAUUAAACACACUUUAUUCAGCCCCUGCUAGGUUCCAAGCACUGUUCUGGGUAUAGACAGAAAGACAUGAAGGCAGCCUUUCUGAAGCCUGCAGUCCAGGGUCAAAAGCAGAGAAACAAUACACUAAGAAAGCAAUAUAUAAUUGAGAUGGAUAUUAUGAAGUAAAUGAGAAAAUGAUCAAAAAUUAAAGUGGGUGUGGUUUGGGGGCACCAGGAACCAUUUAGACUGGAUUAUUACUGAAGGCUUUUUUAGGUUUACUUUUCUCAUUUCCUUCAUCACUGCUUAUUGAGUUACCCGUUUAAAUAUUUGCCCUCAUUGGUCUGUAAGUUCUAUGAAUACAGGGACUUUAGCUGGUGACUGUUGUAGUCACUAGUGCAUUUUCAUGCACCAUGCAUACUUGGCACACAGUAAGUCUUUAAAUAUUUGCAGAAUGAAUAAAUGAAUGAAUUAGACAAUAGCUCCAUCCCAAACACGCACAUGCACAUACACACUCUGACGCAGUAGGAGAGAAGAGGAACAGCAUUUUUAGAGCUAAACGGGAUAACAUCCUGUCCUCCUUAACAGGAAGGAUCUUGGAGUCAGUGCUAGAAAAUCUCUGAGCUUAUAAGAAAUGGAUCCACAUCACUUGUGAAACUGGAAUUAUCUGAUAGGUGAUUAAAGGUUUUGUCCAUAGGACUCAGGAAGUAAUAAAUCUAUAUUCUUUGAAGCUUAAGAUAGAGUAUUUGUUAGGCUACUUGCUGCUAGAUGAGGCAAGAUUGGAUUUUUGUGGUCUCCUCUGGAAGAUGCCCUCAUUGUAAGCUGCUGGAGGCUGGGUUUAUUUGCCUCAGGAACAUGUAACACAGUGAUAAUCUCCCAUGGUUCUAGAAAGGCUGAAAACUAUAGGUAGGGGUUUGAUCCACUAAUCCAUCUUCUGUGGCUUACUAUUGAUUGAAUUUGGCUAAUGGUGAGAUGGAGACUUUACUGUCCUUCUGCAGUAAAUUUUGUUAUGUCCUGGAAGGCAUCACUCUCUCUUUCCAGUCAAAUUGUCCAAACAAUUGGUCUUCUUUUUGGUUACCUCUUGUGCUGGGCACACUUCCUCAUGUAUGGUAGAUGACCUCAGUGCAUCUUCCUUUCUUUGUGUGUGAGAGAAAAGAGAGAUGCCAGGGUCUGACCCUAGUUUUUCUCUCUCCUUGUCUUGACUCUCCUUCUUCUGUUUGGAGUACAUUAUCACACACUUUCUCUUCUAAAAGAGGCAAGUUGAUUGCAGCAGAUGCAGCCUACUUCAACUAGGUUCAAGUGG